rnacentral:misc_RNA from 1 species
GAAGGAUCAUUAAAGAGUAAGGGUGCUCAGCGCCCGACCUCCAACCCUUUGUUGUUAAAACUACCUUGUUGCUUUGGCGGGACCGCUCGGUUCCGAGCCGCUGGGGAUUCGUCCCAGGCGAGUGCCCGCCAGAGUUAAACCAAACUCUUGUUAUUAAACCGGUCGUCUGAGUUAAAAUUUUGAAUAAAUCAAAACUUUCAACAACGGAUCUCUUGGUUCUCGCAUCGAUGAAGAACGCAGCGAAAUGCGAUAAGUAAUGUGAAUUGCAGAAUUCAGUGAAUCAUCGAAUCUUUGAACGCACAUUGCGCCCCUUGGUAUUCCGAGGGGCAUGCCUGUUCGAGCGUCAUUACACCACUCAAGCUUUGCUUGGUAUUGGGCGUCGUCCUUAGUUGGGCGCGCCUUAAAGACCUCGGCGAGGCCACUCCGGCUUUAGGCGUAGUAGAAUUUAUUCGAACGUCUGUCAAAGGAGAGGAACUCUGCCGAUUGAAACCUUUUAUUUUUCUAGGUUGACCUCGGAUCAGGUAGGGAUACCCGCUGAACUUAA